UCACAAGUCAAGACAAAAUUUUCAAAACUUAAAUUCUUGAAUUCUUAAACUUAAAUCUUAUUGGUAAAUAAUUGAUGACGAUAGCUUUCGGGAUAGUCUGGAUGGUUCAAUACAUUUCAUAGAUUUCAUAAGGUGAAAUUAAUUGUUUUGUGGUCAAUCACAAUGGCCGGUUGUUUAUGUCGUCUCAUCGGAUAAUAAAGUAAGUGGAGGACGAUUUCAUCAUUGCCAUUGGGUCCAUCCGAACAUCCAGCAAACAACCGAAAGACUUCUCCAAAACCGGAAUCACAAACACUAAUGAUACUGUAUAGGAUGUGUAAAGCAAAAGUGGGUGGUAAUCCAGUUGCAGCAAAACUAUCACAACCACUUUGAGAGGAAUACUGCGGAAUCGGCGGAAUCACGCACACUCUAUUCAUUUGGAGAAGUAAAUACUCAACCAAGAGCUGUUGAAAAUAAACAAUUUUUCGUACGAGAUGCCCGACAUCCCGGGAUUCGAAUAUGAAAAGACCAGAAUUGACGACGACGAUGAGUCUUCUGGUGAAAUUUAGGGAAUACGUUCUGCUACGACAGCAGCCGGAUAGUACAGUAGACAAUCGGCAGUCCUAGUUUCGAAAAGCGUGGCCUGUACAACAACCUCAGCACAAUCGAGAUCAUUCCGCAGCUCAACAACAGUAUUCCCAGCACCGGACACCUCAUUCAUGUACCAAUCGACUCGGGAGAGAAAACACGCUUCUCGUCAUCAAAACUUUCGGGAUCGAAUCGCCAUAUUUGGUACUCCUGGUCUGACAUAAACCCACACCUGAAUUCGUAUUAUUUCGAUGAGCAUAAGCUACACAGCAGCGGUAACAGAAACAUCAACUGCACAGACCGCGGUUGGAUCGUAACAUCUCCCGCUCACAUCGCAACAUCAAGUGCCUGUCUAUCGCAAUCUAUCGCAAGUUUGACCUUUUAGAUACGAGGCGAACAUGAAGCACUUGUUAAAAACGGUGUCCAACGCCGUUGUGUUAGGAUGAUGCUGCCCUCGAUGCUGCCUUUUCACUUACAAUGACCUGCAAAGUCAGAGUCAGUCACAUCUUCUUUUUGAUGAACUAAUAGCAGCUGCCGUUGUCCACAAUCUGGAUGAAAAGACCACCAGCGAGUAAAACGUUAUGUUUAUCACUCUUGGUGGCGGUUCUAUUGAUGAGUCAAUCCUGUCAAUCGAUGAUAGCAUCUUCAAAGUCUGCAGCCGAUGACACCCAUCUUGGCGGUAAGGACUCUGACUACCGAUUGUCUUCACCGGCAGGGGUUGAAAAUGAAUUGAUCUUCGAGGGCACCAACUUCACCCAAUGAUUGCUGGAAGUCUCCGUAAUAAAGAUAAUAAAAAAUAAAUAAAAUAAAAUAAAUCUUAUUCAAUCAAUCUCAAUCUAUCAAUCGAACACACUCGAUAAAUAUCAAUCAUUCAAUCAAGCUCAGUCAAUUAAUUCCGAAAAUCAA